GAUCCUGGCUCAGGACGAACGCUGGCGGCGCGCCUAACACAUGCAAGUCGAACGAGAAAUGAGGAGCUUGCUCUUCAAAUCGAGUGGCGAACGGGUGAGUAACGCGUGAGGAACCUGCCUCAAAGAGGGGGACAACAGUUGGAAACGACUGCUAAUACCGCAUAAGCCCACAGCUCGGCAUCGAGCAGAGGGAAAAGGAGUGAUCCGCUUUGAGAUGGCCUCGCGUCCGAUUAG
rnacentral:rRNA from 1 species